AAAUUGAAGAGUUUGAUCAUGGCUCAGAUUGAACGCUGGCGGCAGGCCUAACACAUGCAAGUCGAGCGGUAACACAGGGAGCUUGCUCCUGGGUGACGAGCGGCGGACGGGUGAGUAAUGUCUGGGAAACUGCCUGAUGGAGGGGGAUAACUACUGGAAACGGUAGCUAAUACCGCAUAACGUCGCAAGACCAAAGAGGGGGACCUUCGGGCCUCUU
rnacentral:rRNA from 1 species